rnacentral:lncRNA from 1 species
UGGUAAUUUGGACAAAUGAACACAGGGACUCCCAACAUCUAGUGUCAUAAGUGGCACACAGUAAUUGACAUCCAUUAUAUUUACAGAAGGGCCAUGAAAUAAACAUUCAGUAUUUUCUUAGCUAUUUAAAAAAUGUACUUAGAAUAAAAUAUAAAAACUGUAAGGCAAUAACCAAAAAGUUAAUUGUUGCUUCUGGUUAGUGAGGUUAUAACUUUUUUUCAUACUGCCUUUUAUAUUUUUUCUGUGCUUCUCAAAAAUUUGUUUUAAAAGCUAUUUUAUGGAAUUCUUGUUUAAUGCAAAGGUAAUAGAAGUUUUUAACAUGGCAUAUAAACAUUAAUGGCCUAAAUAAUUAAUAUGAUCAGAAAUAUAUGAU